GGGGGGUGGAGGGUUUAGUACACGAGGUCGCUGUUUCACACGGGACUGAUUCGAAUCUCACGACACCCAAGGAAACGAACUAUGAAUAAUGAUGUGCUGAAAUUUCACAAAGCUUUUGUAACUGGACACUGAAGAGGAAUUCGGCAUCAUGUUCCUUGUGUCCCCCCACCUGCAAGGACUAUUUCAGUUCCAGCCUCAGUCCAAGUGUGCAGAAUUACCCAAAAGAGGCAAUUCAAAGAUCAGCCUGCCCCAGACAUCACCCUCAAUUUUGAUCUUCACUGGGCAACUCGAAAGGGGGUGUGUGCAUCUCAAACUAUUAAGAACAGACUUCAGUUAGGCUUCCCUGGGCUAUGUGGUCCCAAAGUGAAGCCGAGGAGCCACUGGAAAACCUCAGAAGCUUUUCAUCCAGAAGCCUGAGGAAAGCCCUGCCCUUCCUCCAGAGAGGGGGUAUGACAGGGCCUGCUGCCUUUCUGAGGCUGUAUUUGGGAAUCCAGGCACACUGUUCCCUCUGCUCUCAGAUCUCAUAAACCCAUCUAUGGAAGGUUGCUGACUUCCCAGGGAAUGUGACUGGAGAAAAUGGUUCCAAGACUUCUCAUCUCUGGGGUAGUGGAAAUAUGCCCUGCCAUUUCUUCCCCUCCUACUGUCCUCUCUCUACCAUCUGGAACCCCCUCAUUUUUCAGCAUGGGAGAUGGGUUUGUUUAUUUCAAUUUUACUAUUAUUAUUUUUUGCCAGUGGAAAGUCCUGCUCUUACAUGCUCUUACAGACAUUUUGUCCAAAUCUCUUGCUAUGCCAGGAGUCUUUCUUAUUCCUGUAAAGCCAAGCCUUUUGCAACUCCAAAACCAGGAAUAGACUGUUUCCCCCUCUGUUUUCUUCACUAUCACAUGUUUCUCUUUAAAGCAAUGAGCACAGAAUGCCCAGUUGCUUGUUUGGGUGGAGUAAUGAGUAAAGAGAUUGAGAGGGAAGAUAUUGGGUGCGGGAUGCAAUCUGUUAAUAUUAUCCUUCCAAACUUAUGGGGAAAAAACAGAAAUAACAAUAAUGAUAAUGAUAAUAAUAGAGCUCUUAGUGCAAACAUUGAUCCCUCUAUCCAGAUGAAAUUGUGUCCUUAGCCCUAAGAAAUAGUGCAUGCUCCUUCGUCUUUCUUUCUACACACAGUCGGACUUCAAGACUUCAGAACUCAGAAGACCUGUUUUAAGUAAGCAAACUGACGAUGGGACAAGUUGUCUUCUAGGAGGAUUUAUCUUCAUUAGAGAUCAGUACUAGAGUGGUUUUGAAAGGUAUGAUUCUGUUAUUCAAGUUUGUUCUAGGAAUAUGACAGUUUACAUAAAACUGUUACUGUGAGAAAUCUAGACACAGUGAGAGAACAUUUAGUCUUUUACACCCAGAAACCUGUGUAACAGGAAGAAUCACAUUGUAUUUUCUGAGAAUGCAGAGACAUCCUUAAAGUACCUUUGCAGUUUUAACUUGUGUUGAAAUAUGUUGAUACUAUUAAUUAUUUUAAUAAAGAAUUACUUAU